GGUGGCUAAGUGGUAGAGUGCUUGCCUUGCAUGCAUGAGGACCUGGGUUCGAUUCCUUAGCACCA
rnacentral:tRNA from 1 species